rnacentral:pre_miRNA from 1 species
UUAACUCAAAUUUGUAUGGAGUUGGAACGUUUGCCUACGUUCUAACUGCAUACAAAUUUGAGAAC